UUGAUCCUGGCUCAGAAUCAACGCUGGCGGCGUGCCUAACACAUGCAAGUCGGACGCGAAAGGGGAGCAAUCCCUGAGUAGAGUGGCAAACGGGUGAGUUACACGUGGGUGACCUGCCUCAGAGUGGGGGAUAACGUCCCGAAAGGGACUCUAAUACCGCAUAACAUCCUGCCCUUGGAAGGGUGGAGAUCAAAGCCGGUGAUCGCAAGACCUGGCGCUUGGAGAGGGGCCCGCGCCUGAUUAGCUAGUUGGUAGGGUAAUGGCCUACCAAGGCGACGACCAGUAUCCGGCCUGAGAGGUCGGACGGACACACUGGGACUGAGACACGGCCCAGACUCCUACGGGAGGCUGCAGUGGGGAAUUGUUCGCAAUGGGCGCAAGCCUGACGACGCAACGCCGUGUGGAGGAUGAAGAUCUUCGGGUCGUAAACUCCUGUCGAGCGGGAAGAAUACUUUCCGGGCGAAUAUCCUGGAAGGCUGACGGUACCGCUAAAGGAAGCUCCGGCUAACUCCGUGCCAGCAGCCGCGGUAAUAAGGU
rnacentral:rRNA from 1 species